UAGACGGUACAGUAGGGUGCGAGAGCAAU
rnacentral:sRNA from 1 species